rnacentral:rRNA from 1 species
UACGUAGGGUGCGAGCGUUAAUCGGAAUUACUGGGCGUAAAGCGUGCGCAGGCGGUUGUGUAAGUCAGAUGUGAAAUCCCCGGGCUCAACCUGGGAAUUGCAUUUGAGACUGCACGGCUAGAGUGUGUCAGAGGGGGGUAGAAUUCCACGUGUAGCAGUGAAAUGCGUAGAGAUGUGGAGGAACACCGAUGGCGAAGGCAGCCCCCUGGGUCAAGACUGACGCUCAUGCACGAAAGCGUGGGGAGCAAACAGG